ensembl:lncRNA
UGGCAGGGUGAGAUCUGGGCUGACGGACACGCCAUGCCUUCAUAGGACCAGCUCCAGAGGAGUGUGGCAUUGAGCCGUCCUGAAGGGUUAGCUGUCACUCGUCGCCUUUCAGGUUAUGAUGUGGAUUUCAGAAGCUAUUUCUCUUUGCUUGGUGCUUUUUCUGCAGCUUGGGCAAGUUGACUUCAAGGGAACAAAAUCGACCAAGAUCUCUGCCCCCUCAGAGCUUAUAAUCUGGAAGGGGGAGAUGGACAACGGACACUAAAAUGAAUAAAUGUGGACCCUUCUCAAGAGGGCCCAGCCUGCCCUUCAAGAAGCUUUGGGCCUAGGAUCUCGCAAGAGGCUCUAACUUUCUGUAAGGCCAUUCAUCAGGCUGCUUGCUGCCAGACCAAGAGUGUUUCCAGCUAUAUAGAGAAUUGUGAAGUGCUCUGAAGGCUGCCAACAAAAUGUCAAGUCAGCCCACUGACAGAGGAAGGAAGAGAAGCCUUUGGAAAAGACUGUGUUGUUUCCCAUUAGCUUACGUUCCUGCUGAAUCUGAGCAGCUGACCUGAGGAAGGAGGUCGGAAAGGCUAAAGGAUGAAAUGCUGGGUAAGUCCUUUACUAGUGGCUCCAGUGGGAGAGAUGCCACCUCCAUCAUCGUAAUUCUAAGGGAAACACCCAUAGCUUCAAAGACAUUGGAAUGCCUCUCCUUGCAGAGCAAAACUUACAGUGUGAAAACGAGACCUCAGCACAAAUUUCUUUGGGCAUCUUUUAUUAACAGACCCAGGCUGACCAAGUCAUUCCCCAAAAGCUCAUCCAAUUUCCAAGAAGGUCGACUCAUUCCCAGACUGGCUUGCCUUAGAGUUCAAGAUGGCUGCCGCUCUUCUAGGCUUCACAUCCACACACUGCUUUAUCCAGAGCAAGAGAGCUUCUCUUUUUAUAUCCAUCAAAAGUCUUGAGUUUUAUUCUAAUUGGACCAUCACUCUGGUGAAGAGGAGGCGGUUAUGCUGAGUGAUUUAGGACUUUGGGGCCAAUGUCAGGAAUGGGGGUGGUAGAUCAAUCUCGCUCAGACCUCGUGCCUGCUACACAGUGGGGGUGGUGAGGGAUGCUGGGGAAAGGGGUGGCCAAGAAUGUCCUCUGCAGGGCCGGUUAUAUUCUCACCACGGCAAAGGUCAAGUGCAUCCAUGCUAUGGUGAGUGUGUGGAAGAGAAGAAAACACAUUUACACCGAGAAUACACAUCCGGGGCCACAGCUGCACUGGAUAUGGUAUUGCAAUGGAAAUGCCGUGCAAUGCACUGCCCAUCAUUCUUUUUGAAACUAAUGAAUUGUCUUAUAAAUAUAGUGCUAGGAGCUUCAUGUUAAAUAGUUGGUCCAAAUGUAGCACUUAUAAAUGUGCUGCUUGCUUAAGGCAAGGUAUUACUUGAGAUGUAACAGUGUUUGCCAAGUGACUGAAUGCUUAAAGUGAGUAACAAAAGUUUACUAUGAUUUGAAGUAUUUAAAUAAAUAACAUUUUCUUUCUUUCUUUUUUCCGCAGAAAUACACCAUUUUCAGCAAAGGCAAUGAUUACAGAGUCAUCUGCUCUAUGAUGUUUCCAUAGCCUUGUCACAGUGGUAGAUAGAUAGACAGACAGACAGAUAGAAAGAUAGAUAGAUAAGGUAAAUUCUCUGUCUUUACCAUAUUUUUCCCAAGGAUCUUGACAGACAUAGGCUUCUGGUUGCUUCCUUCUCCGUGGGACGCGAAAGAGUUGAUGCCAGCUAUUCACCCACCCACACUAGAACCUGGCAUCUCUCUCUGUAAAACUAAUUUGAAACCAGCAUGUUUUCCUCACUUUCUAUCUUUAUUGCAAUUUAACUCAGGUAGGGCAACUCGUUGCAACAGCCCCAGCAGAAGCAACAGAGGACUCAUGACUCCUGCCCGUACUCCUUUAGGGGAUGGCGAAACUCAGGGCGGACCUUUCCUCUUGUGUGUGGAGAGAGGGGCUUCCCUUGUGUGUCCAAGGGAUCAAGGUGAGAGGAGUUUGAGGUGGUGUUGGACUUUUAAGCCCCUUUGGAAUGUGUAAGAGUUUCAUUUUUCUUGAUGUUGGGAUGUAAUCAUUGACAUGAGCAAAAUAACACGUCUGGAGAGACAGGACUGAGCCGCCUGCUGGGGCCAGAACAGUGCGACAGAUCACCCAGACUGUGUAGUUUGACAGUUUUAGCUUUGGGUCUUGUCAAGGACAUGGCUGCUUUUUUCUGGUCUGUGGAAGGGCUCCACGGAGGCAUCUGGGAUCCCAAAUCUGUCCCCCACUGGUCUGUUUCAGGGGCUGAAAUGUCAUUUAAAAUUGAAAACUUUUUAUUCUUCUUGUGAGACAUGCGUGCCCCAUUCAACUCAAGACAUAUUUUCAUUCUUUGGUGCAAGAACUCUCCUUCAUUUAUUUUAUUUCCUUUUUCCCCCAAGCCCACUCCAGUUCCCUUAUUCCAUAGAAGCCUAUUCAAGAAUAUUUUGUAUGCAGCAAUUCAAUCCACCUUCCACAUGUUUAUUCAGAUAAGUCUAUUCUUAAAAAUAUAUAAUGCAGUAUGUUUUAAUUUAUGUAAAUAGCUCUGUGCUAUAAACCUCAUUUUGUUGUUUACUUUUUCUACUCAAUAUGUUUUUUAGAUUUAUCCAUGUUGCUGUAUUAAAAUCAAAUCCAUUACCUCCUCCUCCCACAUAGAAUUCUAUCAUAGACAAAUCCCACAAUUAUUUAUCCAGAGGGACAACUAGAUUGCUUUUUUCUCUUUGCUAUCAUAAAGAGCACAGUAAUAAACAUCCUUGCAUGUUUCUCCUUGUCCUUGGACUUGUGUAAGUGUUUCUUCCAGAUAAGUACCAAGGUGUGGGGCUGCUUCUUGUCACUCAGACCUGCCAGAUUGCCCUCAAACGCAGCAACACCAGUUACUUCUCCCAGCCAGGCCCUAGAUAGUAAUUGUUUCAUUUUUGUCAAUAAUAUUUUGGUGUUUUAUCAUGGCAUCAACUCUUGUGUCCCACUGAAAGGGAGGCAACCAGCAGCCUGUGGCUGUCGAGAUCACUGGGUAAAACAUGGAGUUUUCUUAUUUUAAUGUGCAAUUCUCUGAUUACCUGCGAGAUUGAGAAUUUCUUCAUAAACUCAUCAGCAAUUUGGGAUUCCAUUCCUGUGAUUUGUCCAUAUCGUUUGUCUGUUUGUCUAUAUAUUUGUCUUUCUAUGCUGAUAUGAUAAAGAAAAUAAAGGAGAAGGGUAUGUGUGUAAACC